ACAUAUUUGUCACUAGUAUUAACAUAUAAUACCACUAUUACAUAGAUUAAAUUGCUAAAAAAGGUAGAAUCUUUAGCAAAUAAAGCAUAUCUGCAAUAUUAAUAAUAAUUCUUUAAACAGCCAUCUACCCCAAUUAGGAAAGGUACAAUAAUGAUGAACUAGAGUUUGAGGUUUUUUUUGGCUGCACCCAUGGCAUGUAGAAGUUCCAGGGCCAGGGCUCAAACCCAUGACACAGAAGUGACUGGAGCUAUAGUGACCCAAGCCACAGCAGUGACAAUCCCAGAUCCUAACCCACUGUACCACCAGGGAACUCCCGAAGUUUUAAUUUUGAAGAGAAGGAAUUAAGCAGGAAGAGGAAGAGAGGAAUAAUAUUAAUAGGAGAGAGAGACAUGGUGAAAAUAUAACUCUUUGGGGGUUUUUUGUGUUUUUUUGUUUUUUGUUUUUUGUUUUUUUUUUUUUUAGAGCCACUCCCUCGGCACAUGGAGGUUCCCAGCGUUGCCACAAGCUGUGGCAUAGGUCACAGAUGCAGCUCAGAUCCUGCAUUGCUGUGGCUGUGGUGUAGGCUGGCAGCUGCAGCUCUGAUUUUAACCCUAGCCUGGAAUCUUCCACAUGCCGCAGGAAGAAAAAAAAUAUCUAUCAUUGGAGGAUGAUCUAAAAGACAAAAAAACUGUGCGAUACCCAGUUUUGAAAACCAUCAGAUUUCAAGGACUACUACUAAAGAUCUUCUGUGAAUCUGUUGAGCAGCAAAUUAAAUUUGCAUUUUGGGAUUACUGAGAACACUGUUAAAAUACAUGCAAUCGCCUUUUAGAACUGAAAACAUGACCUUCUGAAAAAUCUUUUUAAGGCACUUUGGAUCUUGAAUAUACUGUUUCCUUCUUUACUGUGACUGCCAUGAUGACUAGGGUCAAAUUUGUAAUCCAUCUUUAGAACUCACAAAUUUUUACUGCAGCCAUUUUGUGUAUUAACUUUAUCCAUGACUUCAUUUUAAUUUCCCCUUAUAUUCUCCGUGAUUUCUCCAUUCAAUUGCAAUAACGUUUUCUGGUAUCUCUGUAAACAGCAUCACAUCACUGGGGAGAGGGAUUGAUGCGAAUAAAUAAAAAUGAAGAAAAUCAUCCUCUCAAUCAGGGUGCAGACCUGUUUCAGCAUAUUUAUGACAGGGUUUUUUUUUUAAUUUGAAUUCACCAUUAAUAUUUUAAAAUCCCAGUAUUUCAUAUAAAAAUCCAGAUUUCAGAUGGCUCCGUGGCAAAAUGUAACAAGUUCUUAUCUCCCUGGACCAACAUGCUGGCGAGAUGAGUCCUUAAGCCGCCACUUCGGUCUCCAGUGGUCACAGAAAUCCUCACACAUCCACUUUGCUCAUUCAUAUUACCUGAGAGAUUUGCUAAUGAGUUCCAAAAAAGGAAGGAACGUCAGGAUUCUGCAAUACAAACAGGAGGGCGCGCGUCUUUUUCGUUCUUUGAAAGACGUUGUAGAAAUAACAGACACAAUUCAUUCUGCAAACCUUCACUGGACCUCUCCGCUGCGCUGGGCCCUGGCGAUAGGUGAUUUAAAAAAGAAGCAGAGGUCUGGGUCCUGGUUGGCUGAUGCCGCCAGGAAUUACCGCCACGAGCACAAGGAGCGUUGAACUGAGGUCAGUUCUGAACCGAAGGUGGAACGGUACUUAGCGUAGAAUAUUUAUUAAAGCGUCUCAGCCAGGUUCCCCUGCAUUAGACAGUCUCCAAGCAGUCCACGGCCCGUUCGCAGAUGGGGGGGGGAGACAAAGUCACGUCUCGGCUCCGCGUUGAUUCACCCGCAACGCGACUCCU
rnacentral:lncRNA from 1 species